rnacentral:lncRNA from 1 species
CCAAUGUCAGUCCGUUCUAACACUUAUUCUUAUUCGCCUUGUAGGUUGCAUUUGCUUGGUGUGAGGGGCUAAUUGGCUUGGCAUGUAGUAAAUUUUUUUGAAACUGAAAGGCAUAUUCACCUUUGGCAUGUGUAACUUUAUUUUGCUCCGGCUGUAUUUCUUUUUGGAUACCCUAAAACUCAUACUGUCAUGAAUCUGUAAUGUGGUGCUGUUAUGUCUAAACUGCUGGAACUUG